AUGAUGGUGCCAGCAGUGAGGUGGAAGUUGGAGUUUUGCCAGGAUCUAGGUAAGGUUGAUGGUUCCCAGAAGUAUAGCAGUGACCAGGCCAUGUGGUAUGUGUCCUUUUCGUCUUUCAGGUGCGCCAAGUGGCAUCCAGGAAACACCUGUCAGAUGCGUUUCUUCUCUGCUGCUAGUCACACGAUCAAGGCCAGUCUGAGAAUGGCCAUUCAGGGGCCCUGGAUAGUAACCAGGUUCCUGUCAAGAGAUUAUAACAAACCUAACAAUGAUCAUUAUCAGGGACUGUUUCUGGUAUCCAGGUAAGUGAUGAUGUGCAUUUUAAUAACAUCACAGACCGUCUGGUCUCUACAUAUCUAAGUAAGUGAUGUUUGUUUGCCUAAACUUGUUUACUAUGUGAUUUAAAAAAAAAAAAAAUCUAGUAACCAUGUUACCCUAUUGUUCUGUGUUUUAAAGAAAAUUUAUUUUUUUACACUGUGAGUGACUUACGAGUUGCAGACAUCCAGGUUAUUUUCAAUAUGUUCUGCAUCACCAUAUUAUCCAUAGUAUUUUUACAGGUGUACCAUCAGAAAACAAUGGUGUCUUUAGCCGUGGUGUAGACCUUGUAUUGUUUCAGGUUUCCUGGUAGAGAUGUUUCCUGCAUUGAUGAAAGUGAAUAAGGUUAUUUGCAAUUGUCCAGGUUGAAAAGGUGUGUCUAUAUUCACAUUUGUCAUAAUGUGUUUUCAGGUUCCAGCAAAAAGAUCAUGUUGAACUUCAUAAUGAUGAUUAAUGGGGGUUUUGCAUGUAGACAAGUGAUUAUGUGGGCCGUAAGCAUCCUACAGAUCAUGUGAUCUUCAGAUAUCUAGUUAAGAAUACAUGAGGUCCCUAACAUUUGUGUUAUCAGAGGUUUUAUGCGGGUAGUCAAGUAAGAAAUGAUAGUGUCCUAAUAAAUACUUGGAAGCAAUAACCCUUUCUGUUUGAGUUUAGGUAUAUGUUUAACUUUAGUAGCAUCUAAAAUAUAUUUAGGUAUCCAAGUAAGUUAUAAUUUUGCCCAAUACCUAUAUAUUGACUGUACUUUUUUUUUCUUUUUUGCAGUUAUCUUGUCAAGACAACAAUGUGCCUCUAACUAGGUUGUUGACUUUGAACAUCUGAAUGUUUCCAGGUAGAUUUGAAGGGCCCUGUAAUUUUCAAGUAACCAUGGAAUUUUGCAGGUGUUCAUAUAAUACAUGCAUUCCUAACACAAUUUUACCGUGAUUUUUUUAAAGAUCCAAUUAAGAGAUUAUGGCACCUUCUCUACUAUGCUUAAGGCCCAUAUCAUCUCCUAACUGAUCCCAGCAAAAUCCCAAAUUGAAUACUAUUGUUAGUUGAACCAUCAUCAUCUCUUGAUUGCUGUUUUUGCAGAUGUCCACUCAACAGUUGAUGGUGUCUUGGGCCAGGAGCGGUGGCUCCUGCCUAUAAUCCCAGCACUUUGGGAGGCUGAGGUGGGUGGAUCAUGAGGUCAGGAGUUCGAGACCAGCCUGACCAACAUGGUGAAACCCUGUCUCUACUAAAAAUACAAAAAUUAUCCAGGCAUGGUGGCGCGUGCCUGUAAUCCCAGCUCUCAGGAAGCUGAGGCAGGAGAAUCGCUUGAAUCUGAGAGCUGGAGGUUGCAAUGAGCUGUGAUCGCGCCACUGCACUCCAGACUGGGUGACAGAGCAAGACUCUGUCUCAAAAAAAAAAAAAAAAACAAAAAAAGAGUUGAUGGUGUCUCUAACAACAAAACUAUAAGGUUGAUUCUAGAUUCUUGCUGGUAUGUAGGUAGAUUUUAUGGUUCUUUUUAAGGUUAUAGUGCCCAUAGAAUUUUCAGGUGUCAAAGUUAAAGAUUUCUCCACUGUUACCUCUUUGGGUUUUUGUAGAUUCCAAUUAAAAGAUUAUUGAAAACCUCCCUAUGGUACUGAAGGCAAGAUUUUUCUUGCAUCCAAGUACAAGAUGAUGUUGGUACCAAAGCUGAUAUCCAGGUAAGCAAUACUGGUGUUCUUAAGCCAACAUAGUGACCAAGUUUGUUUGCAAGCAUUCUUGUAAGUUAUGUUGACUAACCACCAUAGUGACCAGGGGAAUUUUGCAGAUAUCCUAUUAAGCUAUGAAGAUGUCUGUAACUAAGGUGUUUUCCUUAGAACUGGUGUUCUUAAGCCAACAUAGUGACCAAGUUUGUUUGCAAGCAUUCUUGUAAGUUAUGUUGACUAAGUUAUGUUGACUAACUGCCAUAGUGACCAGGGGAGUUUUGCAGAUACCCUAUUAAGCUAUGAAAGUGUCUGUAACUAAGGUGUUUUCCUUGGAAAUGUGCAGGCAUCCAGAUAAGAGUUGUUGGUGACCCUAAUCAAGCUCAUGACCAUGGGAUUUUGCAGUUAGGCAAGGAAUGAUGUGCCCCUACUGUGAUAUUUAUCUUGGCCUUUUUAGGUAUUCACGUUAGAGAUGGUGUUUAUCUAAUACAUGCAAAAAAAGUAUCUAGUUAGAAGAUGAUAGUGUCUGUAUGUAUAGUGCUAACCUCUGAAUUUUUCAUGUAUCCAGGUCAAAGUUGUUCUGUCCCUUACCAUGUUAGUGGUCUUAGGAUAUUUUAGUUGUCCAGAUAAAGGGUGAUGUGUCCUUAACCACAUUAGUUACCAAGCAAUAUUGCAUGUGUCCAGUUAAGAGAUGAUAGUGGCCCCAACCAUGGUAUUGACCAUGAAUUUUUGCAAUUUUCCAGGAUACAGCUGGUGUUUCACUACCUUCAGUAUUAACCAUGUGGUUUUACAGGCAUCCUAGCAAGAAAUUAUGUAUCCACAAUUCUGUUUUUUAUCCUCAGAUUUAUUUAGGUAUUAUGGAAAGAGAUAACGGUGUUCCUAACAUUUACUGACUAUAGGCUUUGAAGAUACCCAGCCAAGAGGUGACGGAGUCUCUAUCAAUGUUGGCGUCCAUGGGAAUGAAAGAAAACUGGAAUUUUUCUUGUCAACUAUGUAUUUUAUUAAAGUAAUUCUAGCAUUCAGUGUUAAAUAUUAUAUAUUUUUGAGUCCUUUUUUUUUUCUUUUUUUGGACACAGGGUCUCGCUCUGUCACCCAGGCUGGAAUGCAGUGGCUCAGUCAUGUCUCACUGCAGCUUCAACCUCCUAGGCUCAAGAAGUCAUCUCAUUUCAGCUUCCCGAGUAACUGGGACCACAGGUAUAUGCCACUAUGCUCAACUAAUUUUGUAUUUUUUGUAGAGAAGAUUUCAUCAUGUUGCCCAGGCCGAUCUUGAACUCCUAGGCUCAAGUGAUUCACCGUCCUCAGCCCCUCAGAGUGCUGGGAUUACAGGUAUGAGCCACUGUGCCUGGUCCACAGUCAUGUUUUAUUGUAUCCAUUUCUUUCUGUUCAAUUUCUACACAAUGACAUUUUCACCUGGAGUCUUAAGCUGUUUAUUAAAUAGUUUAACAUUUAAGAGUUAGCAAUAUAGACAUCCGUUAUAUAAAAUGUGGUUGUUCAUAAGGAAAACUAGGCUAUAGGUACGGUCAUUAGAGUGUUAAAAGAGCCAAGGGAGUGAAAUACUGGAAAACACACUAUGGAUAUAAACAUUUGUACUCUCACUUUCCUGAUAUAAAUAGAUAUUAGAUGAUACAUUAGAAAAAAUAUGUGAAACACAAUGAAGAUUAAUGGGGGACUCGAAUAGUUCUUAUUCAAUUA
rnacentral:lncRNA from 1 species